GACGAACGCUGGCGGCGUGCUUAACACAUGCAAGUCGAACGAUGAAGCUGGAGCUUGCUCCGGUGGAUUAGUGGCGAACGGGUGAGUAACACGUGAGUAAUCUGCCCUUGACUCUGGGAUAACUGCGGGAAACUGUAGCUAAUACCGGAUACGACACCUUCGGGCAUCCGAUGGGUGUGGAAAGAAUUUCGGUCAAGGAUGAACUCGCGGCCUAUCAGCUAGUUGGUGAGGUAAUGGCUCACCAAGGCGACGACGGGUAGCCGGCCUGAGAGGGUGACCGGCCACACUGGGACUGAGACACGGCCCAGACUCCUACGGGAGGCAGCAGUGGGGAAUAUUGCACAAUGGGCGAAAGCCUGAUGCAGCAACGCCGCGUGAGGGAUGAAGGCCUUCGGGUUGUAAACCUCUUUUAGUUGGGAAGAAGCGAAAGUGACGGUACCAACAGAAAAAGCACCGGCUAACUUCGUGCCAGCAGCCGCCGUAA
rnacentral:rRNA from 1 species